CCUACGGGGGGCUGCAGUGGGGAAUAUUGGACAAUGGGGGGAACCCUGAUCCAGCCAUGCCGCGUGUGUGAAGAAGGCCCUCGGGUUGUAAAGCACUUUCAGUGAGGAAGAACGCCUGGUGGUUAAUACCCAUCAGGAAAGACAUCACUCACAGAAGAAGCACCGGCUAACUCCGUGCCAGCAGCCGCGGUAAUACGGAGGGUGCGAGCGUUAAUCGGAAUUACUGGGCGUAAAGCGCGCGUAGGUGGCUUGAUAAGCCGGUUGUGAAAGCCCCGGGCUCAACCUGGGAACGGCAUCCGGAACUGUCAAGCUAGAGUGCAGGAGAGGAAGGUAGAAUUCCCGGUGUAGCGGUGAAAUGCGUAGAGAUCGGGAGGAAUACCAGUGGCGAAGGCGGCCUUCUGGACUGACACUGACACUGAGGUGCGAAAGCGUGGGUAGCAAACAGUAUUAGAUACCCGGGUAGUC
rnacentral:rRNA from 1 species